rnacentral:rRNA from 1 species
CCUACGGGUGGCAGCAGUGAGGAAUAUUGGUCAAUGGGCGGGAGCCUGAACCAGCCAAGCCGCGUGAGGGAAGAAGGUACAGCGUAUCGUAAACCUCUUUUGUCAGGGAACAAAGGCGGGGACUAGUCCCCGGAUGAGGGUACCUGAAGAAAAAGCAUCGGCUAACUCCGUGCCAGCAGCCGCGGUAAUACGGAGGAUGCGAGCGUUAUCCGGAUUUAUUGGGUUUAAAGGGUGCGCAGGCGGGAGAUCAAGUCAGCGGUAAAAUGUCGGGGCUCAACCCCGGCCGGCCGUUGAAACUGGUUUUCUAGAGUUGGAGAGAAGUAUGCGGAAUUCGUGGUGUAGCGGUGAAAUGCAUAGAUAUCACGAAGAACUCCGAUUGCGAAGGCAGCAUACCGGCUCCAUACUGACGCUGAGGCACGAAAGCGUGGGGAUCGAACAGGAUUAGAUACCCGGGUAGUC